AUUGAACGCUGGCGGCAUGCUUUACACAUGCAAGUCGAACGGCAGCGCGGGCUUCGGCCUGGCGGCGAGUGGCGAACGGGUGAGUAAUACAUCGGAACGUGCCCAGUAGUGGGGGAUAGCUCGGCGAAAGCCGGAUUAAUACCGCAUACGACCUGAGGGUGAAAGCGGGGGAUCUUCGGACCUCGCGCUAUUGGAGCGGCCGAUGGCAGAUUAGCUAGUUGGUGGGGUAAAGGCCUACCAAGGCGACGAUCUGUAGCUGGUCUGAGAGGACGACCAGCCACACUGGGACUGAGACACGGCCCAGACUCCUACGGGUGGCAGCAGUGGGGAAUUUUGGACAAUGGGCGAAAGCCUGAUCCAGCAAUGCCGCGUGUGUGAUGAAGGCCUUCGGGUUGUAAAGCACUUUUGGCGGGAACGAAAAGGACUGUGCCAAUACCACGGUUCGAUGACGGUACCCGCAGAAUAAGCACCGGCUAACUACGUG
rnacentral:rRNA from 1 species